UGGGGAAUUUUGCACAAUGGGGGAAACCCUGAUGCAGCGACGCCGCGUGAUUUAGAAGGCCUUCGGGUUGUAAAACUCUGUCUUUAGUGAAGAUAAUGACAGUAACUAAGAAGCAAGCCCUGGCUAAAUACGUGCCAGCAGCCGCGGUAAUACGUAUGGGGCAAGCGUUGUCCGGAAUUAUUGGGCGUAAAGGGUACGUAGGCGGUUUAAUAAGUCCUAAUUAAAAGGCUAUGGCUCAACCAUAGUAUGGUUAGGAAACUGUUGAACUUGAGUAGAUGAGGGGAAAGUGGAAUUCCAUGUGUAGCAGUGAAAUGCGUAGAUAUAUGGAGGAACACCAAUGGCGAAGGCAACUUUCUGGAAUCAAACUGACGCUGAGGUACGAAGGCGUGGGGAGCAAACAGG
rnacentral:rRNA from 1 species